UACGUAGGUGGCAAGCGUUGUCCGGAUUUACUGGGCGUAAAGCGCGCGCAGGCGGACUGGUCAGUCCGGGGUGAAAUCUCACGGCUCAACCGUGAGCGGUCCCCGGAUACUGCCAGUCUUGAGGUGUCUAGAGGAGAGCGGAAUUCCCGGUGUAGUGGUGGAAUGCGUAGAUAUCGGGAAGAACACCAGUGGCGAAAGCGGACUCUCUGGGGACCACCUGACGCUGAGGCGCGGAAACGUG
rnacentral:rRNA from 1 species